GUGACAUCUUUCUCAGGGAGAGAGAAAGUUGUGCAUCUUCCAGAUAGGCCGGAAGUCUCUCUCUCUCUCUCUCUCUCUCUCUCUCUCUCUCUCGCUCUCUCUCUCUCUCUCUCCCCCCCCCUCUCUCUUUCUGCACUCUAGCCUGUUACAGAGUCAUUUUGUCCAGCCUCUCCCACUCAUCACUACUGCAGUGUCUCAGUGCCUCAGUCUCUGACCUUCCACAGGCACCAUGCAAGCAUUUGCUCCCAGGUUGUAUCUGACCCCAGUGAGGGAUGAAGAAGCGGAGUCUCAGAGGAAAGCAAAGUCUCGUCAUGCCAGACAGACCCGCAGGUCAACACAGGUAUUGUAGAGAACAAAUUAUUUACAGAAGUUUAGGUUUUAUGGGAUUUUGUUUGACUCUUGACGGAUAUUAGGUUGUAUGUCCUGCAGGGUGUGACUCUGACAGACCUGAAAGAGGCUCAGAAGACCAUUAGUCUGGCUCCUCAAGACAGACAGAUGGAGGAAGGAGACACUCUGGAUGAAAGGUCCUGUCUGAGGAAAGGCUUGACAGAUGACAGGAGAGUAAUAAUCGGCCUGACAGAGUCCACGGAAACAACAGAGAUAAGUCCAAAAUGGAGUAAAAUGGACGAGGUUAGCAAGAGAAAUUAAUGCAGAAAAUCACUCUUCCUGCUACUGAAAUGGUUGGUUUGUAAGUUUGGAGGUUGUUUAUUCAUCAUCAAGUUCUUCAUUUUUCUCUUACGCAUGUACAGCAGGGGAACAUUGAACCCAGGUUAGAAACCCUCACUGAGUCUUCAAUACCAAACCUUUCAUAUUCGUCUGUUGCUGGAUCCUGUGGUCUGACUUACUGCAACAACUCAUUCAGAGCUGGUGAGAGAUGGUGGAGAGAUGAAAAUCAGAACCCUGUUGAAGAUGCAGCACAGCUCAGCUUAGCUACAAAGCAGCAACAGAGACGACACUGCUACGAUGUCGAAGGUUCAGACUUCAACACUGCGGAGGUACGUGGAAACUACUGUGCUCUUUUAACAGUCACAUAAAAAAAAGAUGAUUUCAGCCACUCUGCUUGGUGGCAAUCUAUUUCCUGUUGUUUUCCCAUAGGGCCACUAGAUGGAGCCAAAAGACUUUGAUAUUUUAUCUUUUCAUGCCUAAAGAACUGAGUAUUUACAGUUCACUUGAUACAAACUACGCUCGAAUACAUUGAGAUCCUUUGAGAAUAUGUUUCUAAAUUUAAGUGUGCUCAUGACAUACUUUGGUUAUCGUCAACAAAGUAAAAAUGAUCUCUAUUUGUGAC
rnacentral:lncRNA from 15 species